AAAACAACACAAGCUGCUACACUUACAGUAAGGUACCUCCACACGGUUCCAGGAAAACACUUCAGUUGGUACAGCACAACCUCCAACCUCCAACAGAUGCCAACAUUUCGUUUCCCCAUCCUUCCUCUUCAAAGCCUCCAGGAUUUUCCAGCUGGAUACCCAGGGCAUAGGCUCUGCCCGCUGCCAUCAUCUCUUGGUUGGAUCAGAGCAGUUAAGAUGCUUCUAUAUACAGGGGAGUCAGGUGGAGUGUGAUGGGCCGUCUGCGGAGCACCUGCCCCUCGGUGACCCCGUCCGCACUGAGGCAUCUCUGGCUCAGCGGAGCAUCUCCCGGCCGUCUCACGCUCCAUCAAUCCCAAUGACAGGACACAGAGGCGGAGCGGAGGCGCCCGGCCCGAGGGGGCAGCUCUGGGACAGUUUAUCUGGAUGACCUCACCUCCCAGAGCCACUGCGGGGUUAGGACAGGGGUCACACGGAGCCGAGGCACUGCCCUGGCUCUCUAGAGGACCUAGAUUAUAAGCCAAAAGUUGUACACUGUUCAAAUCUUACAAGACUUUAUUCUUUAAAAUGUUAUCAAUAUUUUGAAAUAUUAAUGAAGGUGUUUAAACUGUGAAAUAACUGUGAUUUUAGAUUUUAG
rnacentral:lncRNA from 1 species